GACGAACGCUGGCGGCGUGCCUAAUACAUGCAAGUUGAGCGCUGAAGGUUGGUACUUGUACCAACUGGAUGAGCAGCGAACGGGUGAGUAACGCGUGGGGAAUCUGCCUUUGAGCGGGGGACAACAUUUGGAAACGAAUGCUAAUACCGCAUAAAAACUUUAAACACAAGUUUUAAGUUCGAAAGAUGCAAUUGCAUCACUCAAAGAUGAUCCCGCGUUGUAUUAGCUAGUUGGUGAGGUAAAGGCUCACCAAGGCGAUGAUACAUAGCCGACCUGAGAGGGUGAUCGGCCACAUUGGGACUGAGACACGGCCCAAAAUCCUACGGGAGGCAGCAGUAGGGAAUCUUCGGACAUGGACGAAAGUCUGACCGAGCAACGCCGCGGGAGUGAAGAAGGUUGUCGGGUCGGAAAACUCGGUUGGUAGGGAAGAACGUUGGUGAGAGUGGAAAGCUCAUCAAGUGACGGUAACUACCCAGAAAGGGACGGCUAACUACGUG
rnacentral:rRNA from 1 species